AACAUCGCGCACCUGCGGGAACCUGCGGAAGGAUCAUUACAGAGUUGCAAAACUCCCUAAACCAUUGUGGACGUUACCUAAACCGUUGCUUCGGCGGGCGGCCCGGGUCCUUCCCGGCGCCCCUCGGCCCUCGCGGGCGCCCGCCGGAGGUAAACCAAACUAUUGCAUUGUAUGGCCUCUCUGAGUCUUCUGUACUGAAUAAGUCAAAACUUUCAACAACGGAUCUCAGAUCGGAAGAGC
rnacentral:misc_RNA from 1 species